rnacentral:rRNA from 1 species
UACGUAGGGGGCAAGCGUUGUCCGGAUUUAUUGGGCGUAAAGAGCGUGUAGGCGGCCAGGUAGGUCUGCUGUGAAAACUCGAGGCUCAACCUCGAGACGCCGGCGGAAACCAUCUGGCUAGAGUCCGGAAGAGGAGAGUGGAAUUCCUGGUGUAGCGGUGAAAUGCGCAGAUAUCGGGAGGAACACCAGUGGCGAAGGCGACUUCCUGGCCUGUUCUUGACGCUGAGGCGCGAAAGCUAGGGUAGCAAACGGG